CCAAAUGUAUAACGCAGGGGUAGCGCGCGUCGUUCGGGACGACGAGGCCGAAGGUUCAAAUCCUUUCACUCCGACCA
rnacentral:tRNA from 1 species